rnacentral:rRNA from 1 species
GUGGGGAAUCUUCCGCAAUGGACGAAAGUCUGACGGAGCGACGCCGCGUGAGUGAAGAAGGCCUUCGGGUCGUAAAGCUCUGUCAUCAGGGACGAACGGCCGGUGGAGUGGAAAGCCACCGGAUUGACGGUACCUGAGAAGGAAGCCACGGCUAACUACGUGCCAGCAGCCGCGGUAAUACGUAGGUGGCAAGCGUUGUCCGGAAUUAUUGGGCGUAAAGCGCGCGCAGGUGGGAUCUUAAGUCCAUUUUUAAAGUUCGGAGCUCAACUCCGUGAUGGGAGGGAAACUGGGAUUCUUGAGUACCGGAGAGGAAAGCGGAAUUCCCCGUGUAGCGGUGAAAUGCGUAGAUAUGGGGAGGAACACCAGUGGCGAAGGCGGCUUUCUGGACGGUGUCUGACACUGAGGCGCGAAAGCCAGGGGAGCGAACGGGAUUAGAAACCCUGGUAGUCC